AUGACGUCACCCAAUGGCGUCACCCAAUGAUGUCACCCCUUGUGUCACCCAAUGGCGUCACCCAUUGUGUCACCCAAUGGUGUCACCCAAUGGCGUCACCCCAUGUCAUCACCCAUUGGCGUCACCCAAUGAAGUCAUCCAGAGGUGUCACCCAAUGGUGUCACCCAAUGAUGUCACCCAAUGGCGUCACCCAAUGGUGUCACCCCAUGUCAUCACCCAAUGGCGUCACCCAAUGACGUAACCCAAAGGCGUCACCCAAUGAUGUCACCCAAUGGUGUCACCCAAUGACGUCACCCCUUGUGUCACCCAAUGGCAUCACCCAAUGAAGUCACCCAGAGGUGUCACCCAAUGACGUCACCCAUUGUGUCACCCAAUGUUGUCACCCGUUGUGUCACCCAAUGGUGUCACCCAGAGGUGUCACCCAAUGGUGUCACCUAUUGUGUCACCCAAUGGCGUCACCCAAUGGUGUCACCCAAUGACGUCACCCAUUGUGUCACCCAAUUGUGUCACCCAAUGAAGUCACCCAGAGGUGUCACCCAAUGACGUCACCCAUUGUGUCACCCAUUGUGUCACCCAAUGACGUCACCCGUUGUCACCCCGCAGUCUCUGCGCGCGCCGUUACAGCCGUCUGCACAACCGCGUGCUGCGCCCAGCGCGGGACGGUGACGAUGACGGUGACAAUGGUGGUGACCACGGUGACAAUGGUGGUGACCACGGUGACCACGGUGACAAUGGUGACAAUGGCGCCGCUGCCACCCCUGCUCCCCUCCCUCUGCUGUUGGCCGGGGGGGGCUGGCAGCGCCAUGAUGGCAGCGCUGGCACCACCAACCCCGUCAGCCACCUCAGCCUUGUCCCCUUCUUGUCCCCAUGUCCCCACAUCCCGGUGUCCCCAUGUCCCCAUGUCCCCAUCCCGUAUCCCAAUGUCCCCAUGUCCCCAUCCCGUAUCCCAAUGUCCCCAUGUCCCCAUCCCGUAUCCCAGUGUCCCCCUCCCAACUUCCCCAAUACCCCAAUGUCCUCAUACCCCAAUGUCCCCACAUCCCAAUGUCCCCAUCCCACAUCCCAGUGUCCCCAUCCAAUGUCCCCACAUCCCAAUGUCCCCAUGUCCCCAUCCCAGUGUCCCCAUCCAAUGUCCCCACAUCCCAGUGUCCCCAUGUCCCCAUCCCGUAUCCCAGUGUCCCCCUCCCAAUGUCCCCAAUACCCCAAUGUCCCCAUGUCCCCAUCCCAGUGUCCCCAUCCAAUGUCCCCACAUCCCAAUGUCCCCAUGUCCCCAUCCAUGUCCCCAUCCCACAUCCCAGUGUCCCCCUCCCAAUGUCCCCAACACCUCAAUGUCCCCAUAUCCCAAUGUCCCCAUGUCCCCAUCCAUGUCCCCAUCCCACAUCCCAAUGUCCCCAUGUCCCCAUCCAAUGUCCCCGUAUCCCAAUGUCCCCAUCCCACAUCCCAGUGUCCCCACAUCCCAAUGUCCCCAUGUCCCCAUCCAUGUCCCCAUCCCACAUCCCAAUGAUGUCCCCAUCCCAAUGUCCCCAAUGUCCCCAUGUCCCCGUAUCCCAAUGUCCCCAUCCCACAUCCCAGUGUCCCCAUGUCCCCAUCCCAGUGUCCCCAUCCAAUGUCCCCAUGUCACUUUGGGGACAUCUGCGGACAAUUUGCGGACACACUUUGGGGACAUUUGGGGUCACAUUUUGGGGACACUUUGGGGACACAAUUUGAGGCACUUCAAGGUUCUCUUGGGGACAUUUGGGGUCACAUUUAUGGGGACAAUUUGGGACACUUUGGGGACACAUUUUUGGGGUCACAUUUUUGGGACAUUUUGGGGACACAUGGGGACAUUUUGGGUCACUUCAGGGUCACUUUGGGGACACAUUUUGGGGUCACAUUUUGGGGACAUUUGGGGACACAUUUUGGGGUCACAUCUUGAGGUCACAUUUUGGGGACAUUUUGGGGUCACAUUUUGGGGUCACAUUUUGAGGUCGCAUUUUGGGGACAUUUGGGGACACAUUUUGGGGACAUUUGGGGACACAUUUUGGGGACAUUUGGGGACACAUUUUGGAGUCACAUUUUGGGGACAUUUUGGGGUCACAUUUUGAGGUCGCAUUUUGGGGACAUUUGGGAACACAUUUUGGGGACAUUUGGGGACACAUUUUGGAGUCACAUUUUGGGGACAUUUGGGGACACAUUUUGGGGUCACAUUUUGGGGACAUUUGGGGACAUUUUGGAGUCACAUUUUGGGGACAUUUGGGGACACUUCAGGGCCCCUUUGGGGACAUUUGGGGACACUUUUUGCUGUC
ensembl:lncRNA